UCCUACCUUUCCUCAGGUCAACAGAUCCUAAUGAGGCUCAUUCCGAAAUUCCUUUAAAUUUACCCACCCACUCACCCACCCACCAGAUCCUGCUCUUUUGCCAUUCUCUGACUUGUUUGACACUUUAAAAGCCUUAUAACUGACCUUCCUGAAGCUUCUACUCUCUUCUCUCUUUGGUUCAUUCACUCUGUAGCUGCCAGUUGCCUUCAGAAAUCACUGAUGUGAUUGUAUAAUUCUCCAGCUUAAAAUAUAGCAAGAGCUUUUUAUUGUGUAUAGCAGCACUGCCCACUAGAAAUUUCUGUGAUGAUGGAAAUGUUUUGUAUCUGUCUGUGCUGCCCAGUGUAGUAGCUGUGAACCACAUUUGGCUAUAGAGCACUUGAAAUUUGUCUGGUGAGACUGAGCGACUGAAUUUUUACUCUUUUAAUUAAAUUGAUAAUGGCUGCCAUACUGGACAGUGUAGGUCUACAGGAUAAAGUAUAGCCUUCCUAUUUCUAUCAUAACUAUUUUCUCUUUUCCCACACACGAAACGUAUAUAAAACUGUUCUAAUGCAGUAGUUUGAAAUCUUUUUACCUUAAUCCACACUAAGAAAUGCUUUUUCUGUUGUGAUUAUGACAAGUAUAGAUGGUCAUAAAUCCGCACCAAAUAUUUAUUGAGUAUCUGCUACAUAUACAGCCUGACAAUACACCUACAAAGAGAACAGGCAAGGUUCUCUACCCCCUGGGCGCUAACACUCUAUUGGUGAGAAGCACAAAGUAAAAUAAAUCAAGUAUCAUGAAAGUAAAUUGUAUAGUGUAUUGGAAGGUGAUGGCUAAAGGGAAAAGCAGAGCAGGAAGGAGAGGAUCAGCCUGCUGGGGAGUGUGGGGAGCAGACUGGAGGAUUAAAGAAGGUGGCCAGGGUAGGCUUCUGGGAGGAGAAACAAACACUUAAAGGGAGUGGAGAUAGCAAGUGGGUGUCUGGAGGGGCCAUACUCAAUCCACAGAGGAGGGACCAGAGCAAAGGCCCUGGUUAGGAAUGCACAGGCCAGUGUAGGGAAUAGCAAGGGAAGCUAGGUGGUAGUGAUGUGUGUGGGGGGUCAGUGAGUAGAGAGGGGUGGCACAGGCAGGAGUGGACCAGAAAGGGAGCCCUGGAAAGGAUGCCUGAGCACUCAUGUAUCUGCCAUCAUAGGCACUCUAGACACUGAUUUUUUCUUAUCCACCAUAAUCCUCUCCAACCUCUCAGAAGUAACUGCUCUUCUUGUUCUUAGAGUAAUCUCAUUCUUCUUUCGUUCAUCCUUUACUGCUAUUGUUGCAUCUCUAAAUAAUAUUAUUUUCUUCUUUUUCAUUUUUAUAUACAUGGAAUGAUGAUAUGUGAAUUCCUUCUUGUGACUUUUUGGCUCUACAUUAAGUUUGUAAAAUUUAUUGAUGUUUUUGUGUUUAUCUACAGUUUCUUAUUCUCACUGGUAUAUACUAUUCCAUUGUGUGAAUAUUCCACAAAUUUUUCUAUUGAUAGACAUUUAUGUUGUGUUUAGUUUUGAACAUUUCUGAAUAGUGCUGCUCUGAGCACUUGUAUAUAUAUUCUUAUUCUGGUGCAUAUAAGCACAUGUAUCUCUAUAAUAUGCACCAAGGUGCUAAAUUUUGAAUGAUCAGUUAGCACAUCCUCAGCUUCAUCCAGUAAUGUCACAGUAUUUUCCAAAAUGAUUUUUAUAAGUUUGUAUAUAUUAGAAUGCCCAUUGUCCUAUAUCCUUGCCAAUACUUCAUAUUGUCACACUUCUAAGUGUGACAGUUUUCUGUUUUGUUUGUGACAGUUUUUGUCACAUCCCUUGAAGUUUCCCUUCACAUACCUCUGUUAAUGGAAUUGAGCACCUUUUUGCAUGUUUAAAGGCCACUGGAUUUCUACUUUUGGUGAAGUGCCUGUUUUGAAGUCUUUUGCCCAUCUUUCUAGUUGGCUUUCACUGUUUCUCACUAAUUUGUGACCAUCCUUUAUAUUUUCAGCAUAUUGUCCCCUGUCAGUUACACAUAUACAUACACUUUCCCGCGAUAUGUAGCUUUUUUGGCUCAGUCUAUUAAUCAUGCCUUUGGUUGUAGGGUACUUUAAAUUUUAAUGUAGUAGAAUUUAUCAAUCUUUUGCUUUAUGGUUAGGUGGUUUUUUUUUUUUUUUUUGUAUCUUGUUUAAGAGAUCUUUUCCUACUCUCCAGCUCCAAAGAUAUUUUAUCUUCUCUUCUAAAAGUUGUACAGUGUCAAUCUUCACAUGUAGGCCUUUAGUUCACUGGAAACUGACUUUUCUGUAUGGUGAAAGGGUUUCUUCAGAAGGAGUUUAACAGUCCCCCCCCCCCCCCCCCCCCCGCCUGCCAGUAUGGAUUGCCAACUCUGUGCUAGUCUAUUUCUUUAAAUUGUUUCUGAUGGCGACCCAUUAAAUUUAUUUCAUGCCCCACUAAUAAUAACCUACCUGGCAGUUUAAAAACCUGCUCUAGUGUUACCUAACCACUUCUUAAAUGCCCACUGGAAUUGGUUAUAAGUAACAGAAUCUCAGUUUGAACUUCUAAAAACAAACACAACAAAAAACAUGACAGGAGUAUGUGUGUGUGUGUGCAUAUCUCCCAGAACCUUAUGGCAAGGAUAGCCUUCGGAAUAGAUCGAAGUUCUGCAGUCUGCACAUCUAAGUCAGAUAUGUUUCUCUACAGAGCAGGUUCAUGGGUGCUGUGGCUACUAAUAGUUCCUGAGCUUUGCAUGUCAUAUACUCCACUACUAUAAGAAGUCUACUUCCAUAUAGGUCCCAUAUUCCCACCGGCACAUUUUAGGUUAGGGGGCCACUCCGGUGCCAAUCAAAUAUGAAAGCUUCUGCUGCCUAUGUGACUGAUAAGAAGACAACAGCUUCUGGUCCAAAUGCUGGUGAACAGUCCAUUAGGCAAGGCGUCAAGUAUGUCCAUGCCUCUGUGUGCUUUUACCCAAAUGGCCUGUAACUGAGACUAUGCCCCUAAAAUGGCAUCUUUGGUGUUGCUUUCCUAGGUUCUUCAGGCAGUCAGUUAACUUCCUUUGCUACAGAGGCCCCUUAGAACUGCUUAUAGAAAUUUAAAUAACUCAGUGCCGUGAGUGUUUCAGUUGUGAACUAUGAUACAUUUAUAGCUAGAUAGAGUUAUUUUUACAAAAAAUAAUACGACAUUGAUAAGGUCCAAUAAACAUUGAAUUGUUGAUAUAAAGCACAUCAGAAUAUGUGUGGCAUUUCACUUGCUUUCAAUUAGAAUUGUAAACUUCCAGAGUUGUCUUGGAUGUCGCAUCAAUUCCUGUGUAAAUCAUUGGUCACUAAAUAAAUUCUGUUCUUCAAAGGUGGAUUUAAUUGUUAAAGCUGUAGGUUUGACUCAGGCUAUUUCUUCCAAUAUUUUUAAUUUGAUUUUGCAUUCAAAAACAAUUAUAGGGCAGCCUGGGUGGCGCAGCGGUUUAGUGAGCCACACAUUUUGGCCCCGGGUGUGAUUCUGGAGACCCGGGUGUGAUUGUGAACAAUUGUUUUAGUCCCGUGUCGGACUUCCUGCAUGAAGCCUGCUUAUCCCUCUGCCUGUGUGUGUCUCUGCCUCUCUGUGUGUCUCCCAUGAUUUAAAAAAAAAAAAAAAAAAAAAA
rnacentral:lncRNA from 1 species